rnacentral:rRNA from 1 species
UACAGAGGGUGCUAGCGUUGUCCGGAAUCACUGGGCGUAAAGGGCGCGUAGGCGGCCCGAUAAGUAGGGGGUGAAAUCUUGCGGCUCAACCGCAAGGCUGCCUUCUAAACUGUCGGGCUGGAGCACGGUAGAGGCAGAUGGAAUUCCCGGUGUAGCGGUGGAAUGCGUAGAGAUCGGGAAGAACACCAGUGGCGAAGGCGGUCUGCUGGGCCGUUGCUGACGCUGAGGCGCGACAGCGUGGGGAGCAAACAGG